rnacentral:rRNA from 1 species
CCCAGAUUAGGUAGUAACAACCAUUUGAGUCUGGGAUUUCUGAAUGGGGAAACCCACUUACAUAAGUAAGUAUCAUUAACUGAAUACAUAGGUUAAUGAGGCGAACCGGGGGAACUGAAACAUCUAAGUACCCCGAGGAAAAGAAAUCAACCGAGAUUCCGAAAGUAGCGGCGAGCGAAAUUGGACUAGCCCUUAAGCUUUACACGCGUUAGACGAACGGUCUGGAAAGUCCGACGAUACAGGGUGAUAGUCCCGUAGUUGACGACGUGUGUUCAGUGAAAUCGAGUAGGGCGGGACACGUGAUAUCCUGUCUGAAUAUGGGGGGACCAUCCUCCAAGGCUAAAUACUACUGACUGACCGAUAGUGAACCAGUACCGUGAGGGAAAGGCGAAAAGAACCCCUGUGAGGGGAGUGAAAUAGAACCUGAAACCGUGUACGUACAAGCAGUAGGAGCACCUUCGUGGUGUGACUGCGUACCUUUUGUAUAAUGGGUCAGCGACUUAUAUUCAGUGGCAAGGUUAACCAUCUAGGGGAGCCGUAGGGAAACCGAGUCUUAACUGGGCGUUCAGUCUCUGGAUAUAGACCCGAAACCAGGUGAUCUAGCCAUGGGCAGGUUGAAGGUUGAGUAACAUCAACUGGAGGACCGAACCGACUAAUGUUGAAAAAUUAGCGGAUGACUUGUGGCUAGGGGUGAAAGGCCAAUCAAACCUGGAGAUAGCUGGUUCUCCCCGAAAGCUAUUUAGGUAGCGCCUCGGACGAAUACUACUGGGGGUAGAGCACUGUUAAGGCUAGGGGGUCAUCCCGACUUACCAACCCUUUGCAAACUCCGAAUACCAGUAAGUACUAUCCGGGAGACACACGGCGGGUGCUAACGUCCGUCGUGGAGAGGGAAACAACCCAGACCGCCAGCUAAGGUCCCAAAUUACUACUAAGUGGGAAACGAUGUGGGAAGGCUCAGACAGCCAGGAUGUUGGCUUAGAAGCAGCCAUCAUUUAAAGAAAGCGUAAUAGCUCACUGGUCGAGUCGGCCUGCGCGGAAGAUGUAACGGGGCUAAGUAGUAAACCGAAGCUGCGGCAAUAUACUUUUGUAU